AGCAGGGGUUCAGAUAAAAAAUCGGCAGCUGGCAGCAGGAAGUGGUUGCCAUUGACAGCCGGAAGGCAGUAACUGGCAGCCGGAAGGUAGGCGGUACCUGCCACUUGGUGGCAGCCAAUCAGUAUCGACCAACGUGGGCGCAUCCGAUCAGGUAUAACUGCACCCAAAUGCUUCAGUAAUGGUUGCGAUUGGUCAAGCGUUGCCAGAUGCUGUCCUGUUGGAAAUUCUUCUUUAUGUGAUCCUGGAGGAGGGUGAUGCUACAUUAAGUCUGUCUUUGGUUUGUUCCAAAUUCAGAAAUCUGUUGUAUACAGACUCCUUUCGAAAGGGGGCACAAUUCAGAUGGCUUGACAGUGUAUUUUCUUUUAUAUAUUUGAUUAGAGGUUUAAAAUGGUGCCAUAACAUAAAAUUUCUCAGUUGCCAUGUCUGAAUGUUUAUCUUUGUAAUAAUGCUGUUUUUAUGCUCCUCAUCUCAAUAUACAGGUGUAACAAAAUGAAGAACAAGUCUAAGCCAUGCCAGGAAUUCUUCAAAAUGUACACCCUGCAGACACUGCGAUGAGGUUUACAACAACUGCUUACCAGGUCACUGCCAUCAUCCGGAUCCAGUACGUAUCCAGACCAGAUGGUGGAUCAGCACCUAGAGAGGACCUCUACAGCCCUGACAGACAGCAGAGACCAGGACAACUAAAGCCCCAGAUACAGAGCCCCUGUAAAGACCUUGUUUUUUCUCCAUUCUGUCACCGAUGGAGUUUUGGUUCCUUGUCGCCUCUGGCUUGCUUCGUUGUGGUCACUUAAUUUACAGCGAUAUCAUUGACAUGAUUGCAAAUGAUUCCACAGAUAGUAUUUAAACUGAACCGAGCUGAAGGAUGACAUCACUGAAUUCAAUGAUAAACUGCCUUUUAACUAAAAACUGAGUGUUUACUAAUGUCCUUCUGCAUUAUUGACUGACACAAUUUUCCUAUUUAAUACUGUAAAGUUGCUUUGCUUUGAUCUGUAUUAUUAAAAGCACUUCAGAAAUAAAGGAGGCUUGACCUGACCAGGUUGGAAGAGGAAAACGAGGAGAGAUGCACAUCCAUCCUGGGUUUUACAGUGAUUGGUGCAAGAUGCUGGAGGAGUAACUCCGGAUACCUCAUCAGUUCUGAUCUAAGAGUCUUGAAAAUACCUCCGGAUUGUUGUUAGUGAUUCUGAUUGAUAUUUUUGUCUGCUUGCUUACUGGAUAUAUUUUAUACUGUUUACAUUGUAAAGCACUGACUUUGACAACAUACCAACCCGGUUACAAAUUUAACAGCUACUUUAUACUAUAUAUAUAUAUAUAUAUAUAUAUAUAUAUAUAUAUAUAUAUAUAUAUAUAUAGUUUCUUGAAAUACUACAAAUAUAACCGCAAAAUAUGAAUUUAAAUAAAGGUCACUGAGACUUCUCUCUUUUCAGUCAUUUGUGUAUAUAGCCUAUAAUAAAUAUACAACAUACACCUAGUAAGUGCCACUCUCAUAUAUAAAUAAAUAUAAAUGUGUUUGUGUGCAUAUUUCCUUAUUUCACACAAACAAUGAUACAUGCAUGGAUUCAUGCAUAAACAUUCAGCUGGAAACUAACGUUUAGCAAAAUUUUAUUUUUUCUUUGUUUAUAUUUGAUCAACAUUUUAAAUCAAAUAAUAUACAAUACUGACCUAUAUACUUAUUUAAAAAAGUAUUAAAAAUAAUCAUAAAUGUAUAUAAUUAUUUAUUUGUCUUGCUGCCACAGGCAGCCUCCAGGCGGCAAGGAAUUUUAGCGACAGCUGCCAUCCGGUUUUAUUGGCAGCCACUUCCUGCUGCCAGUGACAGCCACUUCCUGCUGACAGCUGCCGAUUUGUCGCCGAACCCCC